UCUUUACCAGGUGUCCAAGCAAUUUUGGCUUUCUUCAACAUUCCCCACGUGCUGUUCUCGGACGGCAACAAGUUUAGCAGUGAUUUGAGGAAGUGGAGAAGUGGGCGACGAAGGAGGAGAGCUCCUUCCAUUGGCAUUAGAGGGAGAUUUAUAGUUGCAUAGGACAUUGGAAACCACAAGGCUCCGAUUGGAGUUCAAAGAUAAAUAGGCAUAUUGAGCCAAUCCCAAAAAUCAGAGGAAAAACUACUCGGGAUGUAA